rnacentral:lncRNA from 1 species
UUUUUCUAAGCUAUUUGAUCACUCUCUGGCUUUUCCACUGUUUUACAAGGGCAUGUUAAGAGAUGUACCAGAGCUGUGGAAAUUCUGCAGCCAUUUCUCAGAAAAACCAGCAGAGAAUUGCUUUAACAUAUGUUUCCAUCUUCUGCUUUUUGCAUUUCCCCCCUUGCGUUUUUCUUUUGCUUUGACCCGGUACAAACUCCUAUAUGCUCACAGUUCUUAUUCAACAGGUUGUACCGGGUUGGUGGAGUUUCCCCGCGACGCGCUGCGCAUCGUUUCCAGCCCAAUUCCUCCCUGUGGCCGGUGUCACCCGCGGCCCUGGGAAGGACCCAGGAAGGGGCUGCUCUGGCCCCUGGAUGUGCCUCAGCACAAUGAAGACAGCAAAGGUUCUCGGUUAAAAACACAACUUGGAAAACAAGACACCGACCAGCUUCUUAAAGGAAACUAAAGAGCCCACGGAACGCGAAGCUGCGAGUUCCCAGGUCCCGGGGGGACCGCGGGGGGAACGCGGGUCCAGCAACGGCACCGGACACGGAAACCACACAGAAAUUACACACAGAGCCCCACGGCUGCCCGCUCUGCGCGCCCGCUGCUGCACGGCCCCGCGCGGAGUUCGUGUCUCUGCGGCCGUCCGCUGGCAAUUGCAUAAUAAAUUACAUUCACGGGAAUUCUGCAUUGGAAAUAAAUGACAGAUUCUGCAGAAAUAAUUAGGGUUUUAUUGUUAAAAUGUCUUUAGGAAAGACAAAACAAUUUAAGCUGGACUCCUCUCCUGUUGAGGGACUGUUUGUUCCCAGUCUUGCACCUGAUUGAAUCGCACUGAUUUUAAACCCUAAUUGACAGCAAUGUUGUCACCAGCAUGUGUUCACUCCCCGGGAUCAAAUACUAUUGAGUUUUGACCUCAGAUAGUACAGUGAGGCUCACUUGUCAUGUUUACUCUCAUUUCUAGAUUUACAGUGAUGCGGCAGAAGAAGAAACGGUGGGUUUGGAGCAACAGUGUGAGUUCAGUUUUGAGUCCCCUCUGUCACCGGCCUGACCCCGCGGCCCUGGCGGCACAGCUGGCGCUUGUUUGACAAGACUGUUUGCUGGCGAUAAGCCGAGUUAUUGGGCUAUUUUUUCCUUUGAAAAAAAUGCAGAUCUCAUUAAUUCUGGAGGAUAAAAGCAUCAUAUGCAGAGAAGAAAUGGUGCCGGUGAAUCCAUGCGAUUCCCCGGACACGAGAAGAUAAAACGGCAGCGUGGGUGCAGGUGAGCGGCCGCUUUUUGUGUAAAAUAACAGGUGGACGGUUUGCCACUUUUUGUGGAGUCCAAGGGGAGAGACACGAGCGAAGAUCAGGGCAAAACCCCAACCAGCCCCGGUUUCCAGCGCCGAGGCUGCCCCGAGCUGGGCGGGGGGCGGGAACGCGCCUGUUCUCUGUGUAAUUUCUUUGGGCGGUGAAGCACGCGGGACGGCUGGAGCGCACACCCAGCAACUACAGCUACAAUUAUUUAGUUUCCCUUGAAGAAAUAAGUGAAUAACAGCUCUGGAAAUCAUAAGGCUGAGAACAUCUUUAUGCAUACUGCAUAACAAAAUAAACCCUUUACAUAAGACAGUAAUAAUGCCCAUUAAUGAAUAUACGUAUGGCAGAGAUUUUAAUUCCAUGCAUAUGAUUUAAUAAUCACAGAAAAAAAAAAAAACAUACAAAGAAAAAAAUAAAAAAUAAAACCUGCUUAAGCAUAAUGAAAAUUCCUUUUGCAUUGCACUUGAGGAGAUGGGCACGAGCCGGGCGGCCCGGACCCUGCCUGCGCAACUGGUUCUUGCUCCCAACACUUGGACAUUGUCCCAGUAAUUCUACUCCUUUCGUAUUUAUUCUUGGUUUUUUUGUACCUAAAACAUAUAUAUGAACUUCUCCGUUAAUGCUCACAGUUAUUAUAAUGGCUAUUAUAAUGGUUUCAAGCAAACAGCUCUUGUUUAAAAAAACAAAACAACUCUCUAAUGUACUGUAAGUAAAUACGAUAAUUUUGGGAUUGGAAGCCGCUUUCUCUCUACUGGGAAGUAAUUUUUAAUCUUACAUAGUUUGCAUUAAUGUCCAAAAGCAAAUGAAGAUGACUGGAAAUGCGUUUCUUUGUUGAGAAUAACUUGUGUGUGAUGAUGCAUACGUGGGGUGGUUGAUUUUGUUUCCCCUUUUGUUCUUUAAAGUGUCAGCGUUGCCUAUAGAAGCUGCUGAGAGGAAAACUGAGCUGGAAGGCACAUCUGCAGCCCCAGGUCCCGUCUUCACUUGCCGCUGAUGAGCCCGAGCGUGUCAGAGGGGAGAGUUCACGGGGGAGAAUCGCUUUCUCUGGUCAGUGAGGCACCGGCUUUCUGCGUCAAGCGCUGGGGAGCGUCUGUGCCCCCCGGCAGCCGCGUUCCUCCCGCUGCGCUGACGGAGGUGACGGGGACGGGGGGCGCGGGCCGGGACCGGGCGAUGCUGCUCACGUCCGUCACGCAGCGCCGAGCCCAGAACGCUCCACGUGUAAACUUGGAAACAUGGAAUCAAACGCAGACCUCCAACAACGCGACGUUGCGCUCUCCUCGGGCACGGAGAUCCCGACCGCCGGUUCAUCACACAAGCAGGUGAAUACUGAAUUUGUGGUAAAAUGGUGCAACAAAGAUGAGUUUUCCAGAAAACUGAAAGCUGAAGUAAAGAUUUCAGAAUGACUUCAAAACGCACGUGUCUUCUGCUUUAUUUCUCAACACACUCAACCGAUCACCCAUUUCCUCCUUUAUUUCCUCCUUUCCUUUCCUGAAGUGCUCUUGGCUGGAGUGAGUCUCUUGAACGCACCAAUUCAUGGAGACGGCUCUAGAAAAGGUGGCGAUUCGCAAACCCUGAAUCUGUAAGGCCGGGUUUAUCUUCCCAAAGCAUCGAUCCUCCCCUCCCCCCCGCGCGGUCCCACAUCUUCCCUUCUCCUCCGAUUGGGACGGAAAUGACGACAAUUCUCCCGAGGACAAAAUCAACUUUGAAAAGCACUCAAUCCUCAUCCAGCCCCGUGACGGGAUGAAAACUGCGCGGGCUUCCUCGACGGCUGCAAAACUGCUCACGAAAUGGCAUCAUCACCAGAGGGUUCUGUGUCGAGAAUCCCAAAGCCUAUAACAAGUCAUUAAAAAUUGUGCAUCGAAGGGUUUUUUUGU